GCUGGAAUAGCUCAGUUGGUAGAGCAGGAGACUCUUAAUCUCAGGGUCAUGGAUUCAAGCCCUGUGUUGAGCC